UACGGGGGGAGCAAGCGUUGUUCGGAUUUAUUGGGCGUAAAGAGCUCGUAGGCGGCUUGUCGCGUCGUCCGUGAAAACUUGGGGCUCAACCCCAAGCUUGCGGUCGAUACGGGCAGGCUAGAGUUCGGUAGGGGAGACUGGAAUUCCUGGUGUAGCGGUGAAAUGCGCAGAUAUCAGGAGGAACACCGGUGGCGAAGGCGGGUCUCUGGGCCGAUACUGACGCUGAGGAGCGAAAGCGUGGGGAGCGAACAGG
rnacentral:rRNA from 1 species